UACGGGGGGGGCAAGCGUUGCUCGGAAUUACUGGGCGUAAAGGGUUCGUAGGUGGCUCGCUAAGUCAGACGUGAAAUCCCUCAGCUUAACUGGGGAACUGCGUCUGAGACUGGCAAGCUUGAGUGCAGGAGAGGAACGCGGAAUUCCAGGUGUAGCGGUAAAAUGCGUAGAUAUCUGGAGGAGCACCGGUGGCGAAGGCGGCGUUCUGGACUGUAACUGACACUGAAGAACGAAAGCCAGGGGAGCAAACGGG
rnacentral:rRNA from 1 species